UACGAAGGGGGCGAGCGUUGUUCGGAAUUACUGGGCGUAAAGGGCGCGCAGGCGGCUCAGACAGUCAGAUGUGAAAGCCCCGGGCUUAACCUGGGAACUGCAUUUGAUACUACUGAGCUUGAGUACGGGAGAGGAUAGUGGAAUUCCCAGUGUAGAGGUGAAAUUCGUAGAUAUUGGGAAGAACACCGGUGGCGAAGGCGGCGACCUGGUCCUUGACUGACGCUGAGGCGCGAAAGCGUGGGGAGCAAACAGG
rnacentral:rRNA from 1 species